GAUGAAGAACGCAGUGAAAUGCGAUAAGUAAUGUGAAUUGCAGAAUUCAGUGAAUCAUCGAAUCUUUGAACGCACAUUGCGCCCGCCAGUAUUCUGGCGGGCAUGCCUGUUCGAGCGUCAUUUCAACCAUCAAGCCCCCGGCUUGUGUUGGGGACCUGCGGCUGCCGCAGGCCCUGAAAAGCAGUGGCGGGCUCGCUGUCACACCGAGCGUAGUAGCAUACAUCUCGCUCUGGGCGUGCUGCGGGUUCCGGCCGUUAAACCACCUUCAUAACCCAAGGUUGACCUCGGAUCAGGUAGGAAGACCCGCUGAACUUAAGCAUAGCAAUAAGCGGAGGA
rnacentral:misc_RNA from 1 species